rnacentral:misc_RNA from 1 species
GGUAACUUCUGUUGCUUAUCCUGCUUCGAGUAUAUAUUCUAUACGUAUAUAUCUGUCUUUGCCAUGUUUCUCAAAGUUUCGGGAUUGUAAUCUGUAAAAGUCCGUCCACAAACUCAGCUGAGACGCGAUUUUUAUUAGCAUUACUUGGAAGAGGCCAGAAAACACGGUAUGGUCCCUGAACAAUCUCCUUUUUAUGAUAGGCUGAUAC